CUCUCAAUAGCUCAGUUGGUAGAGCAUGAGGCUUAAUCUCGGGGCUGCGAGUUCGAAUCCCACUUGGGGUA